rnacentral:snRNA from 1 species
GUGCUCACUUCGACAACACAUAUACUAAUAAGUUGGAAUGAUACAGGGAAGAUUAGCACAGCCCCUGCACAAAGAUGACACACAAAUUUGUGAAGCACUCCAUUAAAAA